UGGGGAAUAUUGCACAAUGGGCGCAAGCCUGAUGCAGCAACGCCGCGUGAGGGACGACGGCCUUCGGGUUGUAAACCUCUUUUGGCAGGGAAGAAGCGAAAGUGACGGUACCUGCAGAAAAAGCACCGGCUAACUACGUGCCAGCAGCCGCGGUGAUACGUAGGGUGCAAGCGUUGUCCGGAAUUAUUGGGCGUAAAGAGCUCGUAGGCGGUUUGUCGCGUCUGCUGUGAAAACCCGAGGCUCAACCUCGGGCCUGCAGUGGGUACGGGCAAACUAGAGUGCGGUAGGGGAGAUUGGAAUUCCUGGUGUAGCGGUGGAAUGCGCAGAUAUCAGGAGGAACACCGAUGGCGAAGGCAGAUCUCUGGGCCGUAACUGACGCUGAGGAGCGAAAGCAUGGGGAGCAAACA
rnacentral:rRNA from 1 species